rnacentral:rRNA from 1 species
CGCUCUCUCUUUUUUUGCAUGGGCGUGUUGGGUGUUGGGUUGGAGGGUUAGGGUAGAGGUGGAGGUCGCGAGGAGGUGGGGGCGGCGGCGGCGGCCGGGGACGGCGCGCGGCGGCUGGGGGAGGAACGCCGGAUAAGGCGGCCCCGCGAUGGGGAUGGGGUUCACGGGGUGGGGCACCGGAAGGUGGCGGCUGCUGUGUGCUGCGGCGCGGCAACGGCCGAAGGGGAGGGGACGAUGGUGCCACGAGGCCCUGAGGAGGGGCAACGAAGCUGGAGCCGCAACCAAGGGGGUUUGGGCGGCCAAAGCGGUGGCCGGUGUUGAAGGGCCGCGUGAGGUGGUUGGCUGCCUGGUCAAGCGGGCGGAGGGUACCGAUUGUAGCGACGAUGGGGUCACAGCGAAGGGUGGGGUCCCCGAGUAGAGGAGGUGGACGCGCGGUGAGGGGCUGGAAGGGAAAAGCGCGGCAUACGAGGGAGGGCGAAGUGACGGACCGUACACGGUCCAGGUUAGACCUGCUCGUCCUGUUGCAUCGGUCGGUAUACGCGGGGAGGUUAGACUUGCCGAACGAGAUGUACUACGGCGAACGAACGACACACACCCCAUAUAAAAACAACAUGAGAAUUAAACGACAACUACAGUAUACGAUGUCUAAGUGUAAAAAAUACUCUAUGAACCUUAUGCACUCUCAUGACUAUAUCAUCUUUGUUUCGUACAUGUCAAUCGUUGUGUCUUCGGGGUCUUACAAAUUCCCCUCAACUUACAGUUUUUGGUGUUGGGACGAUGAGACUAUCAAAAGUCCGAGUGUAAAAUACCCUUUAAUAAGUCAAACAGUGAGACAAUACCCUAUAUUACAGAUUGUAUAGUAUUACAAAACCACCUUUGCCACCAUCAAAGACUGGAGAAAGUCUCAAAUUUGAUAAAAGGACUACUGACUUACUUCAACUUUGAAACUGUUGCCUACAUCGUCCCAAUCGUCUUUUGUACUACGUGCUAACUUAAUUUGUACGUCCCAAGUUAUGCGUAGAGACUAAUAAGAAUACAAAUAAUAAAAAUUAUUAGAUGGUGAAGACCGUAGGACAGCCACUCAGAAGAAAACCAGACGUUUGGUAUCAGUAACAUCGGAACGAGGUCAAACGGUUACAUAUCGACUUAUACUCGGUAGAUGAACGACCUUCACCAGUGUAUACCCCAUUGAAAAUCACCGUCCCACUUCAUUACCAUGACCGUAAACAUAAUGACUUUCAUGUCAUAUAUGAAACACAAUAAAACGUACGAGAGAUACACAAGAGCAGAACCGUCCCCUACGAACCACUAUUGAGGAAUUUACGAGACUCAUUAUUAACUCUUAUGUAUCUGUUACAGUUUAACUUCACACUAUAAACAUACAGUAUAAAUGAGGUGUUAUUGAAAAAUACACAAAAAGAGUAAGAAAAAUGUAUCUGCAUUACUAAAGAAAUACGGCGUUACAAUGAAUACGGUAAACCUAAACCUGUUGUACGGCGUCACAAUGAAGCUAGAGACCUACCAACCACCGGUGGAAUUAAUCUUAGCAAUCCCCAUUACAUCAACGUUACGUCAUAGAUACGCACCCGAUGGCCUACCUCAACGUUGUCGACAACAGUUUUCGGCCUACAAAACCUCUACGGUACAAAUUAAUUAAUUAAUUAGUAGAAAACACCACGGUAAUCAAGACUAGGACCCGAUCCUCCUAAAUUAUAAGAAUUAGUACAAAAGUACGUUUAACUGGGUCAAGCAGGCAACUAACUAAUGACCUGAGGCUCAACGUAACGAAUAAAACCAUUCACUCUUGCAUACUGACAUUAAGACGUAUGUAGUAGUACGAUAAAGGAGGAUUAAAUAUAUACUUCUAAUUCACAGGAAAAAAUGGAUUUUAAAUGAACUUAUAAAUUGACUCUUAAUGAAGUAACACACAGUACGGAUAGAAUAAGGUAGGUGUACUAGAUACCUGGUGUCUAUAUCAAGAGUUAGGUUCCUCUCAGGCUUUUGAUUAUUAAACACGGAACUUAUUGCUUACAUGAAAAAAACAAGAUUAGAACUUUGGAACCGAUUACAUUAUUAUAACCACAGUGCCACCAGAAGUAUCGACAUCACUCAUGUUAGAUUGUCUUCGUUUUCAGAGAUAACUAACAACAUCCUCUAGGUCUUUCGCCUCGUAACCCCGUGAGACUAAAAAUUCUUCGAGGUACGUGCAUAAUUCCGGUCAUUUAAGUUAAACAAAAAGUAGACGAAGAGAUACCAGACAACAGGAAUAAGCUACACAAUAAGUCCAUACACAACAAUUGCGAGGAUUAAAACCCUCUUAGUCUUUUUUUUUCAAAACGUUCAAUACAGUAUAAAGGUACAAAAUCAUACUCUAAAUCUAUAUAACAAAGAGGCCAAGGUAUAAGUAAUAUACAAAAAGAGGAUAUUAACCGGAUGAACAAAUGUGUUCAGACUUAAGGAUUUCCAAGUCCUCAUAAAGUUACAACGAUUUCUUUCUAUGUUCCUAGUCACGGCAUUGUAACAACUUUCUGUUAGUCUGUGUCUGUGGUACGUCGUCGUGACGUGGGACGUCAAGUACGAGACGAGUGGUACUGGACGGAGGAGUAGUAGUCUGUAUGAGUACACAUGAUCCUAGAGGAGUGGUAGCUUCAAGUACACAGGAGAUCUAGUUCGGAUACGUACACUCGACUUCUUAACAAACGGACAAGUGUUAACCACUAACUUCCCACCGGCCACUGAAGGUAUUAAAAGAACAUCAACAAACAACCUAUUAGAAAUUUUAAUCCUAACAUCUCUUGAAAUGUAAUGACAUUUUGAAGUAGAAGAACCACAACGACGAAUGUAUAAGGUAAUACGAUUGAGUCGUUGUGAAAAUCGUCUUUAACCAACAAAUACGUCUGUGCGC